UUUGACCUCAGAUCAGGCAAGACUACCCGCUGAAUUUAAGCAUAUUAAUAAGCGGAGGAAAAGAAACUAACAAGGAUUCCCCCAGUAACGGCGAGUGAAGUGGGAACAGCUCAAGCUUGAAAUCUCUGUUGCUUGCAACAGCGAAUUGUAGUCUCGCGAAGCGUUUUCCAGACGGACCUUCCCUGCCUAAGUUGCUUGGAACAGCACAUCAGAGAGGGUGACAAUCCCGUUCGUGGCAGGGCGGGCCGUUCACGAUACGCUUUCCAU
rnacentral:rRNA from 1 species